GGGGGUGUACCGGCUUCGACGGGGGUUUUUCAGCUUGUAGAUCGCGUGCCGUGGGGCUCACUCAACCACGCCAAAACAGAGUGAGAAACACAGUUGCCAACGACAGCAACUACGGCCGUUUGGCCAUCGCGGCUUAAUUAACCGCGACGCCCCUGCCCGAGGCGCUCCAGUAGGGCCAGGGGUGUCAUUACAGGAGCUGGUGGGUCCGGAUGCCCCGGCCGGACCCGCGAGACACAAGGGGAUCGGGUCAGCGAAAGCCUGUCGGUGGGCGAGACCUGACCUCAAAUCUCAAAUCUAUCGACUACGCACGUAGAAGUCGCAAGUUAGGGCUUCCGGACCCGGGUUCGACUCC
rnacentral:tmRNA from 1 species